rnacentral:sRNA from 12 species
GUUAACUCGUUGAGGGUAGUAUCUAGUCGGGAUAAACUACGGCAUCGGAACUAAAAGAGAGUUAACCUUAUACUAAGUAGCUCAUAGAAUAAUCGGUAGAGGCCGGUAGCGAAAGUAUAAUGAUCUCCCAAGAUGUGGGCAAGCCUAGCUAGGGAGGUAUCGAAAACUGUUUGUUGAAGUGGCGUAAUUCUCCCUAUGUAAGCUCCCUUACUAAAAGUAAUACAUAAAGAAUUAUGAAAGUUGGGCAGUAUAAAAAUAAUGACCUGUUGCAAAUAACGGAUUAUCCUCGAAAUCGAGCCGUAUGGUCAGACAGACAACUUUAGGGUUAUAUAGAUAGUGCAAUGAGAUAUAACCUAGUAACUUAAAGUUAC